GAUGAACGCUAGCGGGAGGCCUAACACAUGCAAGCCGAGCGGUAUUGUUUCUUCGGAAAUGAGAGAGCGGCGUACGGGUGCGGAACACGUGUGCAACCUGCCUUUAUCUGGGGGAUAGCCUUUCGAAAGGAAGAUUAAUACUCCAUAAUAUAUUGAACGGCAUCGUUUAAUAUUGAAAGCUCCGGCGGAUAGAGAUGGGCACGCGCAAGAUUAGCUAGUUGGUGAGGUAACGGCUCACCAAGGCAAUGAUCUUUAGGGGGCCUGAGAGGGUGAUCCCCCACACUGGUACUGAGACACGGACCAGACUCCUACGGGAGGCAGCAGUGAGGAAUAUUGGUCAAUGGGUGCAAGCCUGAACCAGCCAUCCCGCGUGAAGGACGACUGCCCUAUGGGUUGUAAACUUCUUUUGUAUAGGGAUAAACCUUUCCACGUGUGGAAAGCUGAAGGUACUAUACGAAUAAGCACCGGCUAACUCCGUG
rnacentral:rRNA from 1 species